rnacentral:rRNA from 1 species
CGAACGCUGGCGGCGUGCUUAACACAUGCAAGUCGAACGGUGAAGCGCCUUCCUUUUUGGUGGGUGUGGAUGAGUGGCGAACGGGUGAGUAACACGUGAGUAACCUGCCCCCUUCUUCUGGAUAACCGCAUGAAAGUGUGGCUAAUACGGGAUAUUCUGGGUCUGUCGCAUGAUGGGUCCGGGAAAGAUAUUGUUUCGGUGGGGGAUGGGCUCGCGGCCUAUCAGCUUGUUGGUGGGGUGAUGGCCUACCAAGGCGGUGACGGGUAGCCGGCCUGAGAGGGUGGACGGUCACACUGGGACUGAGACACGGCCCAGACUCCUACGGGAGGCAGCAGUGGGGAAUAUUGCACAAUGGGCGCAAGCCUGAUGCAGCGACGCCGCGUGAGGGAUGGGGGCCUUCGGGUUGUGAACCUCUUUCGCCAGUGAAGCAGGCCUGCCUCGUUUGUGGGUGGGUUGACGGUAGCUGGAUAAGAAGCGCCGGCUAACUACGUG